CCUACGGGAGGCAGCAGUCGAGAAUUUUUCUCAAUGGGGGCAACCCUGAAGGAGCGACGCCGCGUGGAGGAUGAAGGUUUUCGGAUUGUAAACUCCUGUCAUUGGUGAACAAGGCUCCCGGUUAACUGCCGGGUAGUUUGCUAGUAGCCGAAGAGGAAGGGACGGCUAACUCUGUGCCAGCAGCCGCGGUAAUACAGAGGUCCCGAGCGUUGUUCGGAUUCAUUGGGCGUAAAGGGUGCGUAGGCGGCGGGGCAAGUCUGAUGUGAAAUCCCGGGGCUCAACCCCGGAACUGCAUUGGAUACUGCCUUGCUUGAGUACUGGAGAGGGAACUGGAAUUUACGGUGUAGCAGUGAAAUGCGUAGAGAUCGUAAGGAAGGCCAGUGGCGAAGGCGAGUUCCUGGACAGUGACUGACGCUGAGGCACGAAGGCCAGGGGAGCAAACGGGAUUAGAUACCCCGGUAGUCCUGGCAGUAAACGGUGCACGUUUGGUGUGGGAGGAAUCGACCCCUUCCGUGCCGGAGCUAACGCGUUAAACGUGCCGCCUGGGGAGUACGGUCGCAAGAUUAAAACUCAAAGAAAUUGACGGGGGCCCGCACAAGCGGUGGAGUAUGUGGCUUAAUUCGAUGCAACGCGAAGAACCUUACCUGGGCUUGACAUGCAUCUCUCAGUGCGUGAAAGCGCGCGACUCCCGCAAGGGAGAAUUUGCACAGGUGCUGCAUGGCUGUCGUCAGCUCGUGUCGUGAGAUGUUGGGUUAAGUCCCGCAACGAGCGCAACCCCUGUGGCCUGUUGCCACCCGUCUUCGGACGGAGCACUCUGGUCAGACUGCCCUGUGAAACGGGGAGGAAGGGUGGGGGAUGACGUCAAGUCAGCAUGGCCCUUACGCCCAGGGCUGCACACGUACUACAAUGCCUGGUACAGAAUGAACCGAGACCGCGAGGUGAGGAAAUCAAGAAAACCAGGCCCAAUUCGGAUCGCAGGCUGCAACUCGCCUGCGUGAAGCCGGAAUCG
rnacentral:rRNA from 1 species